rnacentral:rRNA from 1 species
CUGCAUGGCUGUCGUCAGCUCGUGUCGUGAGAUGUUGGGUUAAGUCCCGCAACGAGCGCAACCCUUGUCCCUGGUUGCUACGCAAGAGCACUCUAGGGAGACUGCCGGUGACAAACCGGGGGAAGGUGGGGAUGACGUCAAGUCCUCAUGGACCUUAUGAGUAGGGCUUCACACGUCAUACAAUGGUCGGAACAGAGGGUCGCCAACCCGCGAGGGGGAGCCAAUCCCAGAAAACCGAUCGUAGUCCGGAUCGCACUCUGCAACUCGAGUGCGUGAAGCUGGAAUCGCUAGUAAUCGCGGAUCAGCAUGCCGCGGUGAAUACGUU